CCAACUGGAUGAGCAGCGAACGGGYGAGUAACGCGUGGGGAAUCUGCCUUUGAKCGGGGGACAACAUUUGGAAACGAAUGCGAAUACCGCAUAAAAACUUUAAACGCAAGUUUUAGGUUUGAAAGGUGCAAUGGCAUCWCUCAAAGAUGAUCCCGCGUUGUAUUAGGUAGUUGGUGAGGUAAAGGGUCACCAAGGCGAGGAUACAUAGCCGACCUGAGAGGGUGAUCGGCCGCGUUGGGACUGAGACACGGCCCAAACUCCUACGGGAGGCAGCAGUAGGGAAUCUUCGGCAAUGGACGAAAGUCUGACCGAGCAACGCCGCGUGAGUGAAGAAGGUUUUCGGAUCGUAAAACUCUGUUGGUAGAGAAGAACGUUGGUGAGAGUGGAAAGCUCAUCAAGUGACGGUAACUACCCAGAAAGGGACGGCUAACUACGUGCCAGCAGCCGCGGUAAUACGUAGGUCCCGAGCGUUGUCCGGAUUUAUUGGGCGUAAAGCGAGCGCAGGUGGUUUAUUAAGUCUGGUGUAAAAGGCAGUGGCUCAACCAUUGUAUGCAUUGGAAACUGGUAGACUUGAGUGCAGGAGAGGAGAGUGGAAUUCCAUGUGUAGCGGUGAAAUGCGUAGAUAUAUGGAGGAACACCGGUGGCGAAAGCGGCUCUCUGGCCUGUAACUGACACUGAGGCUCGAAAGCGUGGGGAGCAAACGGGAUUAGAUACCCUGGUAGUCCACGCCGUAAACGAUGAGUGCUAGAUGUAGGGAGCUAUAAGUUCUCUGUAUCGCAGCUAACGCAAUAAGCACUCCGCCUGGGGAGUACGACCGCAAGGUUGAAACUCAAAGGAAUUGACGGGGGCCCGCACAAGCGGUGGAGCAUGUGGUUUAAUUCGAAGCAACGCGAAGAACCUUACCAGGUCUUGACAUACUCGUGCUAUUCCUAGAGAUAGGAAGUUCCUUCGGGACACGGGAUACAGUGGUGCAUGGUUUGUCGUCAGCUCGUGUCGUGAGAUGUUGGGUUAAGUCCCGCAACGAGCGCAACCCCUAUUGUUAGUUGCCAU
rnacentral:rRNA from 1 species